UCGCCUGUUUACCAAAAACAUCGCUCUUUGGAAAGAAGACUAAGAUAUAAAGAGUCCUGCCUGCCCAGUGACAUUAGUUAAACGGCCGCGGUAUUUUGACCGUGCAAAGGUAGCAUAAUCAUUUGCCUUUUAAAUGGAGGCUGGUAUGAAUGGCAAGACGGAAGUUUGGCUGUCUCUCUUUUAGAGUCUUGAAUUUACCAUUUUUGUGAAGAGGCAAGGAUGAAGUCGUAGGACGAGAAGACCCUAUCGAGCUUUAGUUGUGCAUUAAAAUUGACAAGUUUUAUUUUUAGGCUAAUUAAAAAGAAAGUUAGUUUUACCUGGGGAUAAAUAUCAAAAGGUUAGUGUGAUGCUUUGGUUGGGGCAACCGCGGAGAAAAGUUAUCCUCCGUUUGUAGGCAGAAAAAAAAUUACCACUUUGGAGAAUU
rnacentral:rRNA from 1 species